UACGUAGGGGGCAAGCGUUUGUCCGGAAUCAUUGGGCGUAAAGAGCGUGUAGGCGGUCCGAUAAGUCCGCUCUGAAAGCCCGGGGCUCAACCCCGGGAGGCGGGCGGAUACUGUCGGGCUAGAGUCCGGAAGAGGCAAGUGGAAUUCCUGGUGUAGCGGUGAAAUGCGCAGAUAUCAGGAGGAACACCGAUGGCGAAGGCAGCUUGCUGGGACGGUACUGACGCUGAGACGCGAAAGCGUGGGGAGCAAACAGG
rnacentral:rRNA from 1 species